ACCAUCCUCCUGGAUCUCACCGGCAACCCCCUGGCCUGGAGGCCGCCCGCCUGCCCGCCGUCAGUGCGGGGCCUGCGGCACCACUUCCUCGUGCUCCUCCUUAACAUCCAGGACCAGGACGACCACCGGGACCUCCAUGACGAUGACGAAGCCCCGCACAUGGUCGAGCUCGAUGGAACAACAGUGCCUCGGUGUGGUGCAGCCGAGUUGGGCCAACGACUACGUUAUGGUCCUCGUUAUGGUCGAGUUUUUGUUUUGACCUUGUGAAACUUGCUACCUAUGGAUGAAACUGUGUAAUAUUGAUGAAACUAUGUAUAUGUACGGAUGAAACUUGCUACUA